CGCCAGGCCGCCGUGGGUGGCCGUACUCAGCACGGGGACAAGGACUCCUUGAUGAUGACAGACGGUGUCCUUUGAGUCCUGGCCCCCAUGACAUCCAAAGACAAAGCAGUGAUGUCCUUGCCAGUUUCUCCCUGGGAUGCCAUCCUUGAGGCUGCCAAAAACCAGCUUCCAUCUCUGGAUUCAGACUCGUCCCUGGUGGACUCGGUACCAAAGCCCUGGACUUCCCACCCUGCUGUUGGACUGCUCUCAACUCUGUUGGGUCCGGUCGGGUCCAGCUCCAAGCUCUGAG
rnacentral:lncRNA from 1 species